AGAGCUGUGAAAAAUACAGUGAAAUGAAUCAUUUCCUUCAAAUCUCUCUUUUUGUUUUUUUUAGAGCUUGACUGACGUUCACCUACUGGUUCAGUAAUUAAGGCUGGCAAUCAGACUGAUUACACUGAACUGCUGCUGCUGCUGCUGCUGAGUGAUUCAGCUGAAAACAUCUGUUUCCCCAGUCCUCUACCAUGUUACCAGGGGUCUUUUUCAAGCUGUAGCCUCCACACUUGGCGAGCUCACACGACAGCAAACAGCCAACGAUGUGACCACCUCAGAUCCGGCGGCGCCGUGGACAUGGCAAACUUCGCCCAGAGCGAAAGCCCCGAGGACACCAAAGGCCUGAGAGACAGCACUGCAGUCUGUCAUUGUCCAACCAGAGAGACAGGACACCUCCACCUGCACCAGAGCAGCAUUUACAUGAGGACACUAGGUUUGAAGCGCCUUAAAUCACUGACCUGAAGGUGGGAGUUGGACAAGACCUGAGCAGUGGACGGAGACGUACAUCCUACAGAAGACAGAGAUCGUCAACAGGAAAAUGUGACCGACCAGUCAGGGUGUGUUUGGGGUCCACACACUCAGCGUCCUUCCCUGGCUCAGGGCUGGCAUUUGCCUGACAUCGCAGGCUGCUGAUGGCACAGCAA